rnacentral:ribozyme from 1 species
UUUGGCCAAGGUGAGUGCAAGAGAGAGAGAGAAAGAAAGAAAGAAAGAAAGAAAGAAAGAAGAAAUGUGUGACUCGUAUUUAUGGAUGU